CCCCCCCCCCCCCCCCCCCCCCCGCGCCGUUGCCAAGGCGCUGCAAACACGGCCGGGCAGCGCCGGGCCCGGCCCCGCGCUCCCUCAGAAACGACAGUCCCACAGGAGAUGCCUGACAAGCAGAAAUCUGAGGGUACUUGGAGCCAGAAAUGAAACCAAACAGUCCCAGAAUUUUUUGAAGAAAAAACAACAGAAACAUGAUGAACGAGCCUUUGUUUUAAUUAGAAGUGGAAGCUACAAGACAGCUCAGAAACAACUGAAGUCUGGAAAUGAGUGAAUUAAGAAAAAUAAAAUUCUAAAAGGUCCUUUUCCUAUCCUUCUGCCAUAAGGUAUAUUUUGACAUAAAACUUCUAGGUCUUUGUGCUGUUUCAAUGUGCUCCAAAGAUUACAUUUAGGAUUGAGCGCAUCAGAAAAUCCACAUUUACUCUCUCUCACUUUACACAUGUAUUCUCUCAUGGAGAAUCUAUUGGCAGUCAUCAUGACUUUUUCAUUAUCUUAGUUAACAACACACAUUUAGGUCAAAUACCUUGUGUGUGUGCAUUUCAGCCCUGAUUUUAUAUUGCCG
rnacentral:lncRNA from 12 species